UACAGAGGUCUCAAGCGUUGUUCGGAUUCAUUGGGCGUAAAGGGUGCGUAGGUGGCGGGGCAAGUUUGGUGUGAAAUCCCGGGGCUCAACCCCGGAACUGCACUGAAUACUGCCUUGCUUGAGCACUGGAGAGGGAACUGGAAUUUACGGUGUAGCAGUGAAAUGCGUAGAUAUCGUAAGGAAGACCAGUGGCGAAGGCGAGUUCCUGGACAGUUGCUGAUACUGAGGCACGAAGGCUAGGGGAGCAAACGGG
rnacentral:rRNA from 1 species